UUGUGGAAUGAACUGGUCUGUGUACCCCUC
rnacentral:piRNA from 1 species